CAGCAGCCACGGGAAUACAGAGGUCUCAAGCGUUGUUCGGAUUCAUUGGGAGUAAAGGGUGCGUAGGUGGCGGGGUAAGUCAGGUGUGAAAUCUCGGGGCUCAACCUCGAAACUGCACUUGAUACUGCCUUGCUAGAGUAUUGGAGAGGAGAUUGGAAUUUACGGUGUAGCAGUGAAAUGCGUAGAUAUCGUAAGGAAGACCAGUGGCGAAGGCGAAUCUCUGGACAAUUACUGACACUGAGGCACGAAGGCCAGGGGAGCAAACGGGAUUAGAUACCCGGGUAGUCCCUGUCUCUUAUAC
rnacentral:rRNA from 1 species